UACGGAGGGUGCGAGCGUUGUCCGGAAUCACUGGGCGUAAAGGGCGCGUAGGUGGCCUGGCAAGCGUGCGGUGAAAGCUCGGGGCUCAACCCCGAGUCGGCCGUGCGAACUGCUGGGCUCGAGCACUGUAGAGGCAGGCGGAAUUCCGGGCGUAGCGGUGGAAUGCGUAGAGAUCCGGAAGAACACCGGUGGCGAAGGCGGCCUGCUGGGCAGUGGCUGACACUGAGGCGCGACAGCGUGGGGAGCAAACAGG
rnacentral:rRNA from 1 species